rnacentral:rRNA from 1 species
GCCAGACUCCUACGGGAGGCAGCAGUGAGGAAUAUUGGUCAAUGGCCGCAGGGCUGAACCAGCCAAGUCGCGUGAAGGAUGACGGUCCUAUGGAUUGUAAACCUCUUUUAUAAGGGAGCAAAGUGCGCCACGUGUGGCGCUUUGCGUGUACUUGAUGAAAAAGCAUCGGCUAACUCCGUGCCAGCAGCCGCGGUAAUACGGAGGAUGCGAGCGUUAUCCGGAUUUAUUGGGUUUAAAGGGAGCGCAGGCGGAGUGACAAGUCAUGGGUAAAAUUUCGGGGCACAACCCCGUCGUGCCGUUGAAACUGGCGUUCUUGAGUGAGCUAGAAGUAUGCGGAAUGCGUGGUGUAGCGUUGAAAUGCAU